GAGGAGAGUUCUGUCCAUAAGCCCCAGCUAUGUCAGAAGUAUGACCAGUGACAAGGUGUAAUGAGACACAUGGCCUUUCACUGGUGACAUUAGUCAGCCUAAGAACAACCACAGCCACAAUGACCGACCGAGUUCAACUUCUGCACACCCGGAUGAUCAAAGAGCUCCGUUUCUAUUGAAGCACAGAAUGUAAUCGCUUGACACCCUCUACCAAAGGUGGAGGAGAAUGGUCUUCUGCUCCGGGUCCACGGGGGCCUGUUGGGCUGCAUCAUCAACCUAAACAACAAAGGGCCGUACUGAGUUCCUGGGAUCAUUAUUCUCUCAUGAAUUACCCACAACCCCCCCAAAAAACUCCUUCCCAAGGCCGUGAGGCGGCACACCGUCGGUGGGUUAUUGUGUUUCUUCACCGACGAGGAUGAUGCUCAUGGUUUAUGCAUGGGGGCAUUUUCUCUUUGAAACACAGAGAGACAGAGCAGCGUGAGUGGCGCCAUAGAGCCUGAGUGAAUGCUUCGAGAUCUGUUUAUUGACAUCUGGUUGUUUUCUAUUCUUCUCUGUAAUCCAUGUCAGCCCUGGUUGUUGUUAUCAUCUGAACCUGGUUGAGUGGCUGGGAUCCAUUUUGUUUCUUUGUGUGUGCUUCAUUGUCUGCCAUCUGCCUCCUGAAAAUUAAACCACCAUGUCAAUU